GACGAACGCUGGCGGCGUGCUUAACACAUGCAAGUCGAACGGAAAGGCCUUUUCGGAGGUACUCGAGUGGCGAACGGGUGAGUAACACGUGGGUGAUCUGCCCUGCACUCUGGGAUAAGCCUGGGAAACUGGGUCUAAUACCGGAUAGGACCGCACUUUAGUGUGUGUGGUGGAAAGUUUUUUCGGUGUAGGAUGAGCCCGCGGCCUAUCAGCUUGUUGGUGGGGUAAUGGCCUACCAAGGCGGCGACGGGUAGCCGGACUGAGAGGUUGGUCGGCCACAUUGGGACUGAGAUACGGCCCAGACUCCUACGGGAGGCAGCAGGGGGGAAUAUUGCACAAUGGGCGCAAGCCUGAUGCAGCGACGCCGCGUGGGGGAUGACGGCCUUCGGGUUGUAAACUCCUUUCGCCAGGGACGAAGCGUUUUGUGGCGGUACCUGGAGAAGAAGCACCGGCUAACUACGUG
rnacentral:rRNA from 1 species